rnacentral:misc_RNA from 1 species
UGAGAGAACACUCUCAAUUUGUUUGGUGGCGAUAGCGAAGAGGUCACACCCGUUCCCAUACCGAACACGGAAGUUAAGCUCUUCAGCGCCGAUGGUAGUCGGGGGUUUCCCCCUGUGAGAGUAGGACGCCGCCAAGCAAGCUUAAACCCAGCUCAAUGAGCUGGGUUUUUUGUUUUUUG